rnacentral:rRNA from 1 species
AGUGAACGCUGGCGGUAGGCCUAACACAUGCAAGUCGAACGGCAGCACAGGAGAGCUUGCUCUCUGGGUGGCGAGUGGCGGACGGGUGAGGAAUACAUCGGAAUCUACCUUUUCGUGGGGGAUAACGUAGGGAAACUUACGCUAAUACCGCAUACGACCUACGGGUGAAAGUGGGGGACCGCAAGGCCUCACGCGAUUAGAUGAGCCGAUGUCCGAUUAGCUAGUUGGCGGGGUAAUGGGCCACCAAGGCGACGAUCGGUAGCUGGUCUGAGAGGAUGAUCAACCACACGGGAACUGAGACACGGUCCAGACUCCUACGGGAGGCAGCAGUGGGGAAUAUUGGACAAUGGGCGCAAGCCUGAUCCAGCCAUACCGCGUGGGUGAAGAAGGCCUUCGGGUUGUAAAGCCCUUUUGUUGGGAAAGAAAUCCUGUCGAUUAAUACUCGGUGGGGAUGACGGUACCCAAAGAAUAAGCACCGGCUAACUUCGUGCCAGCCGCCGCGGUAACAC